GGUUAAGCGACUAAGCGUACACGGUGGAUGCCCUGGCAGUCAGAGGCGAUGAAGGACGUGCUAAUCUGCGAAAAGCGUCGGUAAGGUGAUAUGAACCGUUAUAACCGGCGAUGUCCGAAUGGGGAAACCCAGUGCAAUUCGUUGCACUAUCGUUAACUGAAUACAUAGGUUAACGAGGCGAACCGGGGGAACUGAAACAUCUAAGUACCCCGAGGAAAAGAAAUCAACCGAGAUUCCCCCAGUAGCGGCGAGCGAACGGGGAGCAGCCCAGAGUCUGAAUCAGCUUGUGUGUUAGUGGAACGGUCUGGAAAGUCCGACGGUACAGGGUGAUAGUCCCGUACACCAAAAUGCACAGGCUGUGAACUCGAAGAGUAGGGCGGGACACGUGGUAUCCUGUCUGAAUAUGGGGGGACCAUCCUCCAAGGCUAAAUACUCCUGACUGACCGAUAGUGAACCAGUACCGUGAGGGAAAGGCGAAAAGAACCCCGGCGAGGGGAGUGAAAAAGAACCUGAAACCGUGUACGUACAAGCAGUGGGAGCACCUUCGGGUGUGACUGCGUACCUUUUGUAUAAUGGGUCAGCGACUUAUAUUCUGUAGCAAGGUUAACCGUAUAGGGGAGCCGCAGGGAAACCGAGUCUUAACUGGGCGUUAAGUUGCAGGGUAUAGACCCGAAACCCGGUGAUCUAGCCAUGGGCAGGUUGAAGGUUGGGUAACACUAACUGGAGGACCGAACCGACUAAUGUUGAAAAAUUAGCGGAUGACUUGUGGCUGGGGGUGAAAGGCCAAUCAAACCGGGAGAUAGCUGGUUCUCCCCGAAAGCUAUUUAGGUAGCGCCUCGUGAAUUCAUCUUCGGGGGUAGAGCACUGUUUCGGCUAGGGGGUCAUCCCGACUUACCAACCCGAUGCAAACUACGAAUACCGAAGAAUGUUAUCACGGGAGACACACGGCGGGUGCUAACGUCCGUCGUGAAGAGGGAAACAACCCAGACCGCCAGCUAAGGUCCCAAAGUCAUGGUUAAGUGGGAAACGAUGUGGGAAGGCACAGACAGCCAGGAUGUUGGCUUAGAAGCAGCCAUCAUUUAAAGAAAGCGUAAUAGCUCACUGGUCGAGUCGGCCUGCGCGGAAGAUGUAACGGGGCUAAACCAUGCACCGAAGCUGCGGCAGCGACACUAUGUGUUGUUGGGUAGGGGAGCGUUCUGUAAGCCUGCGAAGGUGACCUGUGAGGGUUGCUGGAGGUAUCAGAAGUGCGAAUGCUGACAUAAGUAACGAUAAAGCGGGUGAAAAGCCCGCUCGCCGGAAGACCAAGGGUUCCUGUCCAACGUUAAUCGGGGCAGGGUGAGUCGACCCCUAAGGCGAGGCCGAAAGGCGUAGUCGAUGGGAAACAGGUUAAUAUUCCUGUACUUGGUGUUACUGCGAAGGGGGGACGGAGAAGGCUAUGUUAGCCGGGCGACGGUUGUCCCGGUUUAAGCAUGUAGGCUGAUUAUCCAGGCAAAUCCGGAUAAUCAAGGCUGAGGUGUGAUGACGAGGCACUACGGUGCUGAAGUAACAAAUGCCCUGCUUCCAGGAAAAGCCUCUAAGCAUCAGGUAACAUCAAAUCGUACCCCAAACCGACACAGGUGGUCAGGUAGAGAAUACCAAGGCGCUUGAGAGAACUCGGGUGAAGGAACUAGGCAAAAUGGUGCCGUAACUUCGGGAGAAGGCACGCUGGUGUGUAGGUGAAGUCCCUGCGGAUGGAGCUGAGACCAGUCGAAGAUACCAGCUGGCUGCAACUGUUUAUUAAAAACACAGCACUGUGCAAACACGAAAGUGGACGUAUACGGUGUGACGCCUGCCCGGUGCCGGAAGGUUAAUUGAUGGGGUUAUCCGUAAGGAGAAGCUCUUGAUCGAAGCCCCGGUAAACGGCGGCCGUAACUAUAACGGUCCUAAGGUAGCGAAAUUCCUUGUCGGGUAAGUUCCGACCUGCACGAAUGGCGUAAUGAUGGCCAGGCUGUCUCCACCCGAGACUCAGUGAAAUUGAACUCGCUGUGAAGAUGCAGUGUACCCGCGGCAAGACGGAAAGACCCCGUGAACCUUUACUAUAGCUUGACACUGAACAUUGAGCCUUGAUGUGUAGGAUAGGUGGGAGGCUUUGAAGCGUGGACGCCAGUCUGCGUGGAGCCAACCUUGAAAUACCACCCUUUAAUGUUUGAUGUUCUAACGUUGGCCCCUUACCGGGGUUGCGGACAGUGUCUGGUGGGUAGUUUGACUGGGGCGGUCUCCUCCCAAAGCGUAACGGAGGAGCACGAAGGUUAGCUAAUCCUGGUCGGACAUCAGGAGGUUAGUGCAAUGGCAUAAGCUAGCUUGACUGCGAGCGUGACGGCGCGAGCAGGUGCGAAAGCAGGUCAUAGUGAUCCGGUGGUUCUGAAUGGAAGGGCCAUCGCUCAACGGAUAAAAGGUACUCCGGGGAUAACAGGCUGAUACCGCCCAAGAGUUCAUAUCGACGGCGGUGUUUGGCACCUCGAUGUCGGCUCAUCACAUCCUGGGGCUGAAGUAGGUCCCAAGGGUAUGGCUGUUCGCCAUUUAAAGUGGUACGCGAGCUGGGUUUAGAACGUCGUGAGACAGUUCGGUCCCUAUCUGCCGUGGGCGCUGGAGAAUUGAGGGGGGCUGCUCCUAGUACGAGAGGACCGGAGUGGACGCAUCACUGGUGUUCGGGUUGUCAUGCCAAUGGCACUGCCCGGUAGCUAAAUGCGGAAGAGAUAAGUGCUGAAAGCAUCUAAGCACGAAACUUGCCCCGAGAUGAGUUCUCCCUGAGACUAUAAGUCUCCUGAAGGAACGUUAAAGACGAUGACGUUGAUAGGCCGGGUGUGUAAGCGCAGCGAUGCGUUGAGCUAACCGGUACUAAUGAACCGUGAGGCUUAACCUU
rnacentral:rRNA from 1 species